rnacentral:rRNA from 1 species
AGUAGCGGUGAAAUGCGUAGAUAUCUGGAGGAAUACCAAAGGCGAAGGCAGUCCCCUGGUCCGAUACUGACACUGAGGUACGAAAGCGUGGGGAGCAAACAGGAUUAGAUACCCUGGUAGUCCACGCCCUAAACGAUGUCGACUUAGCCAUUGGAAGGACCCCUUUUCCCUUCAGUGACGUAGCUAACGCGUUAAAUCGACGCUGGGAAGUACGACCGCAAGGUUAAAACUCAAAGGAAUUGACGGGGACCUGAACAAGCGGUGAAUGAUGUGGAUUAAUUCGAUGCUACGCGAAGAACCUUACCUACCUUUGACAUGGCCAAAGUUCUACCGAGAGGCGGAAGUACUCGUAAGAGGAUUGGCGCACAGGUGCUGCAUGGUUGUCGUCAGUUCGUGUCGUGAGAUGUUGGGUUCAGUCCCGCAACGAACGCAACCCUUAUCUUUAAUUGCUCCUAUUUUAACAGGCACUUUAAAGAAACUGCCAAUGAUAAGUUGGAGGAAGGUGGGGAUCACGUCAAGUCCGCAUGGCCUUUAUAGGUAGGGCUUCACACGUCAUACAAUGGUUAGAACAAAGAGCUGCAAAUUCGUAAGAAGGAGCCAAUCUCACAAACCUAACCUCAGUUCGAAUUGCGGUCUGCAACUCGAGCGCAUGAAGCCGGAAUCGCUAGUAAUCGUGGAUCAGAAUGCCA